AGGAGGAACAAUCACAGUGGCUGCGCAGCUCUGGAAACCUGGAUUCAGCUCCUGCAGGAACUACUCCGUCUGCAGGGCCUGGAGGCUCCGGGGCGGG
rnacentral:pre_miRNA from 1 species